CGUUCUUAAUUUUGUUUUUCAAUUUCAUGUUACUUUGUUUUCUCUUCUUCAAAUGUUCAAUUAUGGGUAUCUCUUACUUUGUUGUUUUUCUCAUGUAAAGUUUGCAACUUUUUCAAUUUCACUUUCACCCUCUUUUUUUUUUUACUAGUAAUUCGAUGGUGGGUCCAGUGUUUUAAUGAAUUUUGAAUAUGUUUGGUAGAAUUUGCCAAUGAGAAAUACUGUAGAAAUUAAACUAGUGAAGGAUUUUUACAAGGAGGUAGAGUUGAGGAAGAAAGUAAGUUAUAUUGGAUAUUAAUGGAUAGCAUAUUGUACAUGCACCUGUGAGUGUUGUACUUAUUCACAAAAAGGCAAGUCUGAAAAGAGUUUAUAAAGACUGAUACAUUCACCUUACAACCUAGUUUUGUAAGGAUGAGUUAGACCAACAUAAAAAUCUAAUAGUCCAAACUAAGAUAAUAAGAAAAAUAUUUUAUAUUUUGGAAUGGUAAGGUCAGUGCUAGUGUGCUGCAAAUCUAUUGUUUCAAGUUUCUUGUCAAAGGUCAGUUUUCCACACUGAUUCAAAUAUAGGCAAAAUAAUGCAGAUGGGAAUUACAUUUGUUUGGUACCAAAUUUAAGCCACUCGAUCAUUCAGAGAGCCUUCACCCUUUGGCCUCGACACUAAGGGAUGUGUUUGGAACCACAUAUUUAAGUCGCACGGUCAUCCAGAGUGCCUUCGCCCUUUAGGCUCGAUGCUCGCGAGCUGUGUUCGGUACUAAUUAUUUGCUCCAUUUAAGAAGAGCUCCUACUACACAAGGAUGGCCGAGUGAAUAUAAACAAGAGGGGCCAACAAUCAUGUGUAGCCUUUGGGUUGGGUGUGAUAAAAGGGGUUCAACUGGAUAAGGAGAGAGUAUCUAUGAUUUUGGAUGCAUUUGCAGUUAGCUUACUCGAUCCAUCCGGAUAAGGAUCUUACUGCCAAAUAUUCUUUCUGUACAGAAUAAGACACGCGUCCCCUCUUCCUACCUUAUCUAAUCAUUACUUACCAUAAGGGAAUAUCUGGCGGGGGACCAUGCCCCAAAUUAAGGGCGGGCCUGACGAAAGGAGAGAGCCCAAACCCUAGAAAGGGAACACAUAAACGGCUAAAAGGCAGAGAGAGAAAGACAUACUUUACAGAAUUCUCAAAGCACUAGGUUAUCUUCAAGAUUAGGGCAACACUAAUCUAAAUGGAGACGAUGACCUUGACUUGUUUUUUCAGACGAGAACGAUGUUGAAUUAGCUAGUGCAUUAGUAUGUUGCCUAGUAGCUGGCCAUAAAAACAAGAGAAAGUUGAAACAUUUUGGCAUUAUAGUAGAGGAAACUAUUUCAAAUUGUUUGUAGUUGAACUAAAAUCUUUAGGCUAUUGAGUUUCGUAAUAAAUUUCCAGUACUGUUAUUGCAUUCUUCAAAUGAAUGUUUCAUUGUUCUAAUUAAAGUAUGUUUAUAUUUCAAGUUUUGUGUGAAACUGCCAGAGUUGGUAGAAGGUUUGGGUAUAACAUGUUUGCAAUGCCCUGGAGUUAAUCUUGUAUAGAUUAUCUUUUCUGUA